UGUGUGUUUAAUGGACUAAUUUUACCUUAUUCUCAACCAUGCACUCCACAUUCGUCUUUAUCCUCUCUUCUUCCUUGCAGCACUCUUGUGCAGUCUCCUAAACAUUAUAUUUGCCUUGCUCCUAGCUGAAAAGGAGAAAAUAAUUGUUUCUUUGCUUCAUCUUAAUGUGGUUUCACUAUUUCAUUUACGUUUUUUCACAUUGUGUUGAUGACAGGAGAGGCAAGAGGUACAUUGUCAUCUACUAUAUGCAUUAAACUUUUUCUUCUUUUGUUUUUAUCUGUGGACCCCACCUUUGUCCAAAAACUCCCAAAAUAUGUUGGUACAUAUGAUUUACAAUUUCCUGCCAUGAUAACAAAAAUUGCACUGGUGUGGGGGAUUUAACCUCAAUUGUUUAUAGAGCCUUUCCUGAGUUCUGUGGUGAAUUUGUUGGUGGUAGAGAGUUUCUUUUUGGUGAGGAAAUUGAUAUUUACUGGUAUCAAUGUUACACAUUGCUGUUGUCAUUUAAUUGAUCUACAGGACCAUUUUGGAGAUUUGCAAAUAGUUUGAGAUGUCAACUGUAGAGAGUAACAAACUUAAGUUUAGGCUGUAUUCUGAUUUAUUUUAUGAACCUGGUCUUCUUCAUAUAAUCAUUCUACUAUGUUUGCAAUGAAACUUUUAUGUUUCUUUUCAUCUGAUUUGUUUUUGAAUUUUUUAUUCAAUGUCCUGUCCAUUUAUAGUUGAUCUCUACGUGGUCAAAAUUUUGUCUAACUGAACUGAGUGGUUGAAGUUUUUGGCAAUGUCACCUUCUUUAGAAAGCUAAUUAUGAAGGCAACA
rnacentral:misc_RNA from 1 species